rnacentral:rRNA from 1 species
AACGAACGCUGGCGGCAUGCCUAACACAUGCAAGUCGAACGAGGCCUUCGGGUCUAGUGGCGCACGGGUGCGUAACGCGUGGGAACCUGCCCUUAGGUUCGGAAUAACUCCCCGAAAGGGGUGCUAAUACCGGAUAAUGUCUUCGGACCAAAGAUUUAUCGCCUUUGGAUGGGCCCGCGUUGGAUUAGCUAGUUGGUAGGGUAAAAGCCUACCAAGGCGACGAUCCAUAGCUGGUCUGAGAGGAUGAUCAGCCACACUGGGACUGAGACACGGCCCAGACGCGUAAGCGAGGGAGAAGGGGGGAAUGGUGGAGAAGGGACGGAAGUCUGAUGCAGAAAUGUCGCGUGAGUGAUGAAGGCCUUAGGGGGGGAAAGCACUUUUACCCGGGAUGAUAAUGACAGUACCGGGAGAAUAAGCGCCGGCUAACUCGAUG